rnacentral:lncRNA from 1 species
CAGAGCACUGUCUCCUCCCACACACCUCUCUCCCUCCCUCCAUCAUCAUCACCCUCUAGAACACUGGAGCUGUGGGUCUGUUCAGAAAGCCGCAAAGUUUCACAACAUUACACAAAGUUCAGAUAGAAAUGCACUGUCUAGAUCAGACAUACUUCUCUGUCUGGUAGAAGAAUAGGGAAUUAAGUCACUUCUAUUUGUUGCGUUUCUGUCGCUGCCAAAGUUCUGAACACUUCACCUCACUGAAUACAGCAGACCUCUGAUCUAUGGAACAUGGAACAGUGAGCCCGUCUGGAUGGAAUGCCUACCUUCUUCCUGUCCACUCUGUUAUCCUAGCAACAGCAGUCUGUGCCUUGUCCCCCUCCCCACACCCACCAUGACAUGUGUUUCUGUCACGUCAGAUGAAGGCUGCUCUGAAAGUUUCUCGCCACUCAGCAGGUGGAUCCAUUCUGCUCUUCAGUAUGUUGUUAUUUACCACCUGUCUUGUUGUCAUGGUAGAUAUGGAAGGGCUGUAGUGAUGGUGUGAUGGGCUCAUGAGUCAUAGUGUUGUCUCUGAUUGGCCGGAUAGAAAGGUCCUUUGACACACAGUCUCUGACUCGGCAGCUUCACACUUGUAGGGAUUCAUUGGCCAGCUGUUGCAAUUCCUGGACACACAGCAGGUUGAGAGACACACACAGCAGGUUGAGCUGUGUUGAGACACACACAGCAGGUUGAGAGACACACACAGCAGGUUGAGAGACACACACAGCAGGUUGAGAGACACACACAGCAGGUUGAGAGACACACACACACACACACACAGCAGGUUGAGAGACACACACAGCAGGUUGAGAGACACACACACACACAGCAGGUUGAGAGACACACAGCAGGUUGAGAGACACACAGCAGGUUGAGAGACACACACAGCAGGUUGAGAGACACACAGCAGGUUGAGAGACACACACACACACACACAGCAGGUUGAGAGACACACACACACACACACAGCAGGUUGAGAGACACACACACACACACAGCAGGUUGAGAGACACACACACACACACACAGCAGGUUGAGAGACACACAC